rnacentral:lncRNA from 10 species
GGCUGGUCUCAAACUCAGGUGAUCUACCAGCCUUGGCCUCCCAAAGUGUUGGAAUUACAGGCAUGAGCCACCGCACCUGGCAGGAACAUUGUAUUUCUAGAGAGGAAUCAACUAUUGAAGAAUUGGCACCUUCUCCCAAAGGAAGCGCUGGGGAAGUCAGUAGAACACAAAGAACUGGAUGAAAGGGAUGUAGUAGAAUGGCAUGAGCCUGCAACGGGCAGGGUUUUCUUUGAACUGGGUGAACAGUCUGGCAGUGGUACGAGGACCCCGACUCCCCAGCCUGGGGAAGAUGAGAUAUGUGAGGUUGAGGUUUGAGAAGAAAAGCCACCACUUGGAGGGGCUGCAGAAGUGGCUCUCAGAGGAUAGCUGGUUUUCCAUGAAGGCAAGGAGGGAGCAGAGAGCUAGCCUGGAAGGUUCACCAGAGGGCCCUUGGGAGUGGGUGAGUGGGAAUGGAGCUGGGUGGGGGUCAGCAAGGACAGGGUUAUUUGGUUACCUCCCAUGCCAUCCUUUGACUUUUGCAUCAAGCACUUAAUAAACUUAAUAUCUAACCCUUGGUACCAGCCCCCAAAUUGUAUGUUCGAUACUAUAAAUUUGAAAGACAUACAUAUAUCCUUUCCAAGGGUCAGGAAAGAACAUUCAAAUGUCAAAAAUGAUCCGGAGGAGUCCCAUACUGCUCAGGGUAGGUCGCUUUGCAAAGCAAUGAGAAAAAUCUCUGAAAUAGUUGUUUUCCCCAUAGCCAUCAUUUAACAUUGUUUCAUUAUUAUCAGUUUUUUCUCAGGGUGGCUACUCUACCAGGAGCACACAGAAGUGCUCAGCGCCCCCACCCAGCUCUCCUAGCCCUCAGGGAUCUGGGAUUAUAGUCUCCAUUCUCAGGCAAACUCCUUUUAUCAAGAUGUUGAACAUUCUAGGGAGCCAACUGACUUGAGGUGUACAACAGAACAGUCAUGAGGAAGGGACCUCUAUCCACAGUCCUGUGAGCAAAGGAAGCAACAGACAGCUGCCAGCACAAAGUCUCAACACACUGCCUCCAGGAAGUAAGACUGCAGGAUGGCGGGAAGCAGAUGUAGUAUGGGUGCGCCCAGCCCCCCUCACCAUCUGUGGACCCCAGGCAAUGCAGUCAACCUUCAUUCAUCCUUUAUUGAAAAGGCGGGGAGGGGCUAUCAAGUCCUUUG